GCCGAGGUGGCGGAACUGGCAGACGCGCAUGGCUUAGGACCAUGUGGGACUUUGUCCUAUGCAGGUUCAACUCCUGUCCUCGGCA
rnacentral:tRNA from 1 species